AGAGAGAGACAUGCGCGCAUAUCAAUAAGCGGAGGAAAAGAAACUAACAAGGAUUCCCCUAGUAACGGCGAGUGAAGCGGGAAGAGCUCAAAUUUGAAAUCUUAAAGGGUUUCCCUUUACGAAUUGUAGUUUAAAGAAGUGUUUUCUGUUGAGGUUUUGGUAAAAGUUCUUUGGAAUAGGACAUCAUAGAGGGUGAGAAUCCCGUAUUUGACCUUUACUUUCAACUUUGUGAUACACUUUCAAAGAGUCGGAUUGUUUGGGAAUGCAGUCCAAAAUGGGUGGUAAAUUUCAUCUAAAGCUAAAUAUUGGCGAGAGACCGAUAGCGAACAAGUACCGUGAGGGAAAGAUGAAAAGAACUUUGAAAAGAGAGUUAAACAGUACGUGAAAUUGUCAAAAGGGAAGCGUUUGACACCAGUGUUGUUUUUCUGAAAAUCAAUUAAAGAACUGUUUAUGCUAAGCUGUUUAGACUUUAUCAGCUAACUGUUUAGUUUUGAGCUUUUCUUUAAUGCACUUUUCAGUUAACAAGUCAACAUCAAUUUCUUUUGCUGUAAAAAAGCUUGAGGAAGGUGGCUUGAGAUUCGUCUUAAGUGUUUAUAGCCUCUUGCCUAUGCAGUCGGAGAGAUUGAGGUCUGCAGCGUAGAUCCUUCGGGGCUAAAUGCAUUUGUGCUAAGUUAUAGCAUUUUAUAGACUACUUGUUGACUAUGAUUUGUCUUGUAGCUUACUCGCUUAUGUUAUUUUACCUACGCUUAGGAUGUUGACGCAUGAGAUAUACGC
rnacentral:rRNA from 1 species